UGAAAAAGUAAAAAGGCAUUGAACUAAAUUCCACUUAGCAGCGCAUUGGGCCAGAUUACAGGGGGUGUGAAGAGAAAUUCGUGUUAGAGCCCAUGCUUUAUUGAGUCCAAUUCAACAAAUUUAUGCAUGAUUAAUGUCAAUUAAUUACAUCUGAUUUCAUGUUAAUUCUGAUUAAUUAAACUUAAUGCUAAUUAAACUCAAUUAACAGCAAAUUGGACAAAUAAACAGAGAGAGGAAUUAGGGUUACGUUUUGUGAUGAUUCAAAUCCUCUGAGCUUCUCCUCCCUCUCACUCGCAAACGAACGGCGGCGGUACGGUGGCUCUCUCUCUCGAUUCAACUCAUUGUGCCGGUGAAAGUUUCACGGCGGCGGAAUCUCAGCCCUCUCAUUGCGCAAGUCUCUCGUCUCCGUUUCGGUUCUCGAACUCUCUCUAUCUCUUUCAGCUCAAUCCCGUGGCUCUCUCAUCUUCUCCUUGUUCGUUAUUGAUGAUGAUGAUGUUGUUGCAGAGCAUGAAGUUAUGAAGCAACGCGGUUCCAAGACGUUGUUGAUGAAGAUGCCGAGCGUUGUUCUUGCGGAUUGAUGACGAUGAAGAUUGUUGCUACUUCUUGCAGAUUUGUUGAAUACUGAUUUUCUGUUACAUUUUCUGCGAAAUCAAGAUUGGAGAACUGAUGAAUGAAUCGUGGAAUGUAGGUUCUUUUGUGUUAUUACUGGUGCGCGUUGAAGAAGAUGAAUCGAGAAAGAGAAAGAUGAAGGUUCUGAGUUUUGGGAUGGGGGAAUGGUGACGGAGGUGGAGGUUGAAGGGUGAUGAUAGGAUCAGAAGUGUGAAGAUGUGGUAGAGGAUGAUGAUAGGAUCCGAAGUGUGAAGAUGUAUGCGUGUGUAGAGAAGGUUCAGAGAAGGUCAAGAUUGAUAGAGUUUUUUUUGUUAUGAGGCAUUGAGUUAUGGUUUGAUAUGGAUGUGAAGAGACAUAUGGUGCCUUGGAGAUUGAAAUAUACUUGAAGAUUUUGAGGAGGCUUGUGAAGAUGAAGCGAAAUGGCUUGUUGGAAGCAAAAUGAAGCUGACUUAGAAACAAGAUAGGGUUUAGGAUAGGGUGCUGACUUUGGUCCAACAAUCAUUAUUAUUUUUGUAAUUUUCAAUGGAAGGUGUAAUGUAAUGGUUCCUUAAUAAAAUUUGGAUUUUUGGACAUGAUUGAAAGUGUAAUGUGAAAGAACUUUGUAAAAGGGCAUUGAAUGGUGUAUUCUUUUUGUAUGAUUUUUGUAAUGAAAUUUGAGUGGGCUUCUUGUAAUGAAUGAGAACCUUUGGACAAUACUUGAAUGAGCUUGAAUCGAAUGUUGAACUUCAAGUAAUAAAGCUUUUGCAAAUAUUCCAAAUUCCUUCAACUUUAUCUUCCAACCUUGUAUACUUGAAAACUUCGAUUCAUUUAACAAAUGUAAACACAAAUUCGACUUUAAAGUGUUAAUGAAUCCAAAUUCGACUUCACUUGUCAAAGAAACAUUGGCCUCAAUUCAAUCUUCUAAUCCAUAUCAAACUUGCAUGACACGCACCAAGUAACCGAAAGAAUAGAACUUAAAUUCCAUCUUCAAUUAAUGGGCCUUAAUGAGCACAUACCCAAAACUUCUAAUUCCUUUAUUUGAUAGGCAACUUCACGACUUUAUUCUUUAUCUGAAUCCUUAAUGAACCA